UAUAAACCGUUGAAGGGGAAGUAAAAGCGCAAACCAACCUCACAGAGAGUCGGGUAAGGUGGAAUCUCGACAGGUAAUGGAGCGAGUAAAUGGGCCCCUGAGGGCGGAACGAAAAAGCAGCCGCUGCUUUAGUAGUUUCCGACGCUGAGCCCGCGUUAUGAGGCAAAGGGUGUGUUGGCACUCUGCAUGAGAGGAUGCAUUAAUUGGUGCAUCAAUUAAGGUGGUACCGCAGAUUUACGUCUGUCCUUAUU
rnacentral:ncRNA from 1 species